rnacentral:rRNA from 1 species
GACGAACGCUGGCGGCGUGCCUAAUACAUGCAAGUCGAGCGAACCAAUAAGAAGCUUGCUUUUUGUUGGUUAGCGGCGGACGGGUGAGUAACACGUGGGUAACCUGCCUGUAAGACCGGGAUAACUCCGGGAAACCGGUGCUAAUACCGGAUAGAUUAUCUUUCCGCAUGGAGAGAUAAGGAAAGAUGGCUAUUGCCAUCACUUACAGAUGGGCCCGCGGCGCAUUAGCUAGUUGGUGAGGUAACGGCUCACCAAGGCGACGAUGCGUAGCCGACCUGAGAGGGUGAUCGGCCACACUGGGACUGAGACACGGCCCAGACUCCUACGGGAGGCAGCAGUAGGGAAUCUUCCGCAAUGGACGAAAGUCUGACGGAGCAACGCCGCGUGAGCGAAGAAGGUCUUCGGAUCGUAAAGCUCUGUUGUUAGGGAAGAAUAAGUAUCGGAGGAAAUGCCGGUACCUUGACGGUACCUGACGAGAAAGCCACGGCUAACUACGUG